rnacentral:lncRNA from 1 species
UCGAAACCAAAGACAUCUGAAUUAAACAAGUUAUCAGCAAGAGCAAGAGAAUAUGUCUGGGUACCGCAGGUCUCAAAUUCGCUACACCCCAACAGGAGGGCCGACUUUUAACAGGAAUGCUUCCGAUGGAUCCCAAGCCAACACUGUCGGGUGCGGGAACCAAGUCGAUUCUAGGAUGAACGAUUGUUAUGGUAACUAUAAACACGACACCACCCAGAAUUACAGUGGUAAGUUUGCUAACUUCAAUGCUGGAGAGCACAAUAACUCCAAGAACGAUCUGGGUGGAACUUUCAAUAUGUAAGGAGAGCUGGAAGGAUUAGUGUUCUUACAUUCAUGUAAUGUAAGACUUCUAUGUAUGAAGUAAUUAAAUAAAACGAGGCUCCUAGGUCUCUUUUCGUUUUACUAAUUUUCUUCGUUAUUGCGAACUAAUCAUAUUUUCUUCUUCAAAAUUAAAUAACAAACUAGUUAACGAUAAACAUGCAAUCGAAACACCAUUUGAAGAAUGUAAAUUAGAGAUCAUCUGUAACUUUUCUGAAAUUCGUUAACUUUGACUUAGGAUAACCCCUUCUUGUUCAUUAAAAUUGGUUCCUGAACUUCAGUCUACUGCGAGACGAGUUCUUCAACUCAAAAGGUUGUUCAUUAACCGUGUCUAAGAAGUAAUUACUAAAGUAAAAUUCAGCUCUGCCGAAACUCGGAAAUUGGACGUGCGUAGGAUCCAUUUCUGAUUGCAAGUCGAUAGCCAGGACAAGUUCUGACCUUCGUUUGUGGGAUUGGCCAUGCACAGCACUGUAGAAAUUCUCAAUACAAAAUUCCCAAAACAAAGUGGAACAAGUAAUAAACUCUAAUCCUCUCUUUUCUAAUACAUUCACUAAGUAUAAGAAACAUUCGAGCUCAGGAACAAGGCUACUAAGACUGUAUCUUGGCGUUGGAAUUGCUCUCCGGUUCUCGACUACUACCACGUCUGGACGGAAGCAUGCUGGAUUCUUGAAACCAUGAAUGGACUUCUUUAAAUUGUAUUCUAGUAAUUCUAUGUACUAAUAAUUCAGUAAAACUUUUUUUUUCUUAUAAAAAAGAUUAUAUUUUAAGAAAUUUAAUGUUAAUAUAUUAACUUAUUAAUAUACUAAGAUGAUACACGAAUAUAAGUUUAUAACAUAUAUUAUUGUAAUUUAAAUUACUAUAUAUUAUUAAUUGUAAGUCAUGAUGCAUACCAAAACAAUUGUGGUAUAGAGCAUAUAUCCACUGGACAUGCCUUAUCUCUAGUGGCUGCGGCUUUCAGAUGCCUCAACUCGGAAUUUGUUUUUUAAUAAAAUCAUACAAGUUAACAUGUGCAAUUUCUUAUCACAUAGUAAUAAUGUAUGAAGAGAUACGAUCAACAUAUAAAGCCGAUUCGUUCUCAUCCCAAGUUGUUACCCUGUCCAUAAGAUAAACAUCUAUAUAAGGCACUCGAUGGGGUGCUCUAAAACUCAUCGAGCCACCGAAUUAAGAGAUUUGGAUUAAACAACUGAUCAACGAGAGUUUCGCCAAUGGCCGGGAGGUAACCUCAAUACAGGAGGCCAAUGCGAUAUGAAAUACCAUACGAGCCAGUCCCAGGGCCUACUUUUAACAACAAUGGCAGCGUUGGAACGCAGGCCAACACUGUUGGAAAUGGUAACUACGUUGAUUCUCGAAUUACCGGCAGUUAUAACCAUCGUAACUACAACAAAACUGAGAAUUACAGUGGUAAAUUUGCUAACUUCAAUGCUGGCAAAUACAACGAUUCAAACAACAAUCUGAGUGGAACUUUCAAUAUGAAAUAAUCUCCCAUGGUCUGCCAUGAGGAGUAACUAAUCUUACGUUCAUGUAAUGUAAGACGUUUAUCUAUGAAGCAAUUAAAUAAAAGAAUGUUCUGCUAUCUGUCUAAUUACUGGCUCUUUUUAUUUAUUUUAUUAGCUAAGUUUUUGUUUAAUGAGUUCAAUUAACCAAAUUGAAAUUUGUAAUCCCAAAAAGUUAUAUCGUAAUCCUGAUUAGAAUCAAUAUGAGAAUCUAUAGUAACUUAUAUAUUUGUAAAGAAACUGAUAAAAGAAGUACACUGCAGCAAGAACUUCAUAACCGAGUAAGAAACUUGUAUGUCGAAAAAUAUAAGAUGCUCCAGAAGCACAAAUGAAUUACAAGGUAUAAUAAAUUAUUAACAAAUUUUGAAUUUUGGUUCUAUGAUUUUUUGACAAAAUUUUGAAACAAAUCAAUUAUAUUUAUCAAGUCUACCAACUUAUUUGUGUUCUUGGAAUACCUGAUGAUUGUUAUCAUCAGAGCUCUCUUUUUACCCUAUAACUAAAAGUAUGAGUUGAAUUAUCAACCAGAUCCUUGUUAAGUCUGCAAAGAGAUCGUAACACAAUGCGAGGAACCUGUCCUGAUUUAGAAAGAACUAAAGAAGAAUUUGGAAGUACAUGAACGAAGAACAAGAAAGGAUUUGGAGAGAAUAAGAAAAAAUAGCAGAAGAUUUAGAGAUAAGAAAAAUUAAGAAGAGAAUAAGAAAUCCUAGACGACUGAUUCAAUUCAAAAGGAUUUGUGUUUACAAAAAUUAUCUGCUCAUAAUCUCCAUUUCUUUCUCUUUUAUAUCAGUUUCUCUAAUAGCAGCAAAGCAGAAAUUACAACUAUUCUCUAAUUAAUUUUCAUUAAUCCAGACAACCAAACUAGUUAUUAUCUCCAAAACUAACCAAUAUGAAAUUUGGGUCCUGACACAUACAACAUGGCAAGCUUUAUCUAAUCGAUCUCUCAUGUUGAGAUUUUCACCCAGAUCAUUUUGGAGUCACAUUUCCCUUGGUUGAAAUUGGCAAAUUUACUUCUGUAAUUCUUAGUACUGGGUGUGUAGGCGUGUUGUAAGACUUAGUGAGGGAAAAUGUUCGGAUAGUUGUUGUCUCCAACAGUUUUCGGCCUGGGGAGAUAAUGCUUGCCAUUGUUGUUAAAGAUAGGCCCUGGAACAUGCCAACGCUACGAACAUUGCACGUGUAGUUUUAUUCUAUUCUCAAACUGUUCUAUCAAAGAAUUCGAGCAUACAAGUAUUCGGAAAAUAGCAAGCACUAAUAAAGAACAACGGCUUGUAGAUAUUAGCCAACAUGAUAUUUUUUCUUUUUCCCCCUUUUGAGGAUAUAUGCUCAUCCCAAUUGCGAGGAAUGUGAUUCUACGAACUAAAUUCUAUAUUACUUUAUACUCUACUUUGGAGGAAAGAAGAAAAACAAGUUUCUGCAAAAUUUUUCUAUAAUUUUUUUCUGACAAAGACUUGAAUUAGACUCUGAAAAUGUUCAUUUCUAGUUUUGUAGCAGCUAAUUGUAAUUUCUGUAAGAACACAUAGAUAUAUACCAAUAGAAAUAAUAACUAUUGAGGUAAAAGGGUCAAAAGACCCAAAAUGAAUAAUGCAUGUAAUUGAUUACACACACACACACUCAUAUAUAUAUAUAUAUAUAUAUUCUACUGUUAGUAGUAGAUCUUCUUGAAUUCCAGAAGAAACCAACUUACCCCAAUAUAGAGAGCUUUAGAAACAAAAUUUUUACCUCUAGUGCGUCGGAUGCUUUAGUAACAACUUUAUGUCUAGUGCGUUGGUAGUGCUUAUUGCUUUCAGAUGCCUCUUUUUAUCUCCUGGAAUUUCUUAUCAAAUCAGUCGAAUUUUUAGUCCGAUAAUGAUGGAUUGCUUCUCAUCUCAUCCCAGUCCUUACAUAAAUGUCUAUAUAAGGUGGCACUCGACGGCCAUUAAAAAUCAUCAAGCUCGAAAUUAAAGACAUCUGAAUUAAACAAGUGAUCAGCAAGAGUAGGAGAAAAUGUCUGGCUACAGAAAUGCUCAAAUCCGUUACACCCCGACCGGAGGGCCUACUUUUAACAGAAAUGCUUCCAGUGGGUCUGAAGCAAACACUGUUGGGAACUGUAACAAAGUCGAUUCUCGGAUGAACGAUUGUUACAAUGAGCAUAAAUAUGAUACCACUCAGCACUACAGUGGUAAGUUUGCUAACUUCAAUGCUGGAGAGCACAAUGAUUCCAAGAACAAUCUGAGUGGAACUUUCAAUAUGUAAGGAGAGCUGGAAGGAUAAAUAAUCUUACAUUCAUGCAAUGUAAGACUUCUUAUGUAUGAAGCUAUGAAAUAAAACAAGGCUCUCUUUUAUAUAUAUUCUAUUUAGCUUCUUCAUUUUUCGAGCUAAUAUGUUGCGUUUCCAAAUAUGAAUAAUUAACAUGAAGAAUUGCGCCAACCCGUAAGAUUACAGAUUAAGUUUACUUGUCCGAAAUUUGGUGGUUAUAUCGCACUCUCACACAAAAGAAAGGGAACUCAAUUACAUUUCCAAAAAAUCACUUAAAAAAACAACUUAAGAAAUCAUUUGGUGAACUCAAAGUAGAAUCGUAAACUCAACUGAAGCGUAAUCGAACACAACUAUGUAACUAGAGAGGAUUUUUUGCACCGAAAACCGAAC